AGACGUGACUUAGGAAGACAGCCAAGAUUUUGAUUUAAGGUGUUGACAUUGUUCUAUAUAUUAUUUAUUUUGUCACAUCUGUACUGUCUUUUGAAUAGUAGUUACCACAGUAUUAUUUAAUUAUAGCUAUACAUUUUAAAGUUAACACGUUGUUUUUUUUUCUAUUUCAAAUGCUCUGCAUACAUAACUAAACAGGAAGAAUGGAUGAAGUCCAAAACUCAAAAGCAACAGGAUAGCGAGGAUUUUGAGACCAAGAUGAAGUACAUCCUGCGGACUUAAGACCAAAAUAAAGUACAUCCUGCGGACUUACAGUUCAAAAUAAAGUACAUCCUGCGGACUUACAGAUCAAAAUAAAGUACAUUCUGCUGAUUUCCAGACACUUGCAUGGGCUGCUUGUAAUAAAAAGUGUCUUUAAAUGAUAGCCAAGAUGAAACUUUUCAAAAUUAUUUAUUAGCAUAGACAAGAAAUGAAUAAAUAAAAACAUCUGGUAGGCCUAAUUAAUUAUUUUGUUUGAUACCACCAAGGGAAACAAAUCCUUCAGUAUUCACAGAUACAGAUAUUUCACCCUCACACAUUUUCAGAUUAAUUUGAUAAUAUAUGAUUAUUUACUCUACCUAACCAGGAGCAUGCUGGGCCCAUAACCCAGAGGUUCAUGGAUCGGAACCUUGCUAUGCUACCACUUAAUAAAGUAGAAAAGCAACACUUGAUAACCACAAGUAAGGACACCAGAUUCAUGAGGGAAUUUAUUUCGACUUUGUUAACACACGAUACAUAACAAUCCAACAUUAAAUCUCUUAAUCAAGGGGAAUCAUUACAGAUACUUAUAUGUCAAGGGCAGGUAUGGUGAGAGUGAUUGUGUUAUUUCUUUGUACUAUUUAAGUAUGAAAGAGUUAUAUCCCUUUGUUUAUUUCUUCGUGUUAUUUCUUUGUACUAUUUAAGUAUGAAAGAGUUAUAUCCCUUUGUUUAUUUCUUCUCUUCCAGUAUACACGUGAUGCCUUUGAAUGGGAGUUUCCCUUGGUUGAUAGAGUGAAUUGGUAGUUUGUUAGUUGUAUUAUGUUCCUGGACUGGUGUUGUAUGUAUAAAUUAUACAUUGAAGUUUGAUAUCAUUAUUUGUGCUCUUUUGAUUUUCUAAGCAGUAAAGUAUCAUUAUUAUU